CCGAGUGAGGGCCUCCGGCCCGACCUCCAACCCUUUGUUAUCAAAACCACUGUUGCCUCGGGGGCGACCCGGGCCCGUCAGCCCAGGGCCCCCGACGGACAAUUUCAAAACACUGCAUCUAUGCGUCGGAUUACAAAGUUUAAUGAAUUA
rnacentral:misc_RNA from 1 species